UACAGAGGUCCCAAGCGUUGUUCGGAUUCACUGGGCGUAAAGGGUGCGUAGGCGGUCGGGUAAGUCUGAUGUGAAAGCUCUGGGCUCAACCCAGAAAUGGCAUUGGAUACUAUCUGGCUAGAGGAAUGGAGGGGGGACUGGAAUACUUGGUGUAGCAGUGAAAUGCGUAGAUAUCAAGUGGAACACCAGUGGCGAAGGCGAGUCCCUGGACAUUUCCUGACACUGAGGCACGAAAGCUAGGGGAGCAAACAGG
rnacentral:rRNA from 1 species